GUCUACGGCCAUGCUACCCUGAACAAGCCCGAUCCCAUCUGAUCUCGGAAGCUAAGCAGUGUUGGGCCUGGUUAGUACUUGGAUGGGGAGAUCACCUAGGAAGACCAGGUGCUAUAGGUG
rnacentral:rRNA from 1 species